rnacentral:rRNA from 1 species
UACGUAGGGUGCAAGCGUUGUCCGGAAUUAUUGGGCGUAAAGAGCUCGUAGGCGGUCUGUCGCGUCGGCUGUGAAAACCUGGGGCUUAACUCCGGGCCUGCAGCCGAUACGGGCAGACUAGAGUUCGGCAGGGGAGACUGGAAUUCCUGGUGUAGCGGUGAAAUGCGCAGAUAUCAGGAGGAACACCGGUGGCGAAGGCGGGUCUCUGGCCGAUACUGACGCUGAGGAGCGAAAGCGUGGGGAGCGAACAGG